GAGUUUGAUCUUGGCUCAGAUUGAACGCUGGCGGCAUGCCUUACACAUGCAAGUCGAACGGCAGCACGGGAGCUUGCUCCUGGUGGCGAGUGGCGAACGGGUGAGUAAUGCAUCGGAACGUAUCCUGGAGCGGGGGAUAACGUAGCGAAAGUUACGCUAAUACCGCAUAUUCUGUGAGCAGGAAAGCGGGGGACCUUCGGGCCUCGCGCUCUUGGAGCGGCCGAUGUCGGAUUAGCUAGUUGGUGAGGUAAAGGCUCACCAAGGCGACGAUCCGUAGCAGGUCUGAGAGGAUGAUCUGCCACACUGGAACUGAGACACGGUCCAGACUCCUACGGGAGGCAGCAGUGGGGAAUUUUGGACAAUGGGGGCAACCCUGAUCCAGCCAUGCCGCGUGAGUGAGAA
rnacentral:rRNA from 1 species